UUAGUUAAAUGAAAGUUUAUUGACAUCGUAUUGAUAAUAAAAGGUAAAAUUGGUUUAUUAUUAUAUGUAUAAAUUAAACUAAAAUUGAAGCUAAUAAAUUUAAAUUAUAAACUAGGAUUAGAUACCCUAUUAUUUUUAAAGAAUUUUAUAGCACCAAACUAGUAUUAGAUAAAUACUUAAAAAUUAAAAAAUUUGGCGGUGAUUUAAUCUUGUUAGAGGAAUUUGUCUUUUAAUCGAUAAACCACGUAUAAUCUUACUUGUUUUUGUAAUAAAUUUCAGCUUGUAUACCAUCAUUAUCAGGUAAUUUUUAAAAAAUAAAAUUCUGAAAUUAAAUAUUUAAAAAAAUUAGAUCAUGGUGCAGUUAAUGAACAAGUUAAGAUGAAUUACAAUAAAUUAUUUUAUAACGAAUUGAUGAAUUAAAUUUUGUUGAGAAGGAGGAUUUAAUUGUAUUAUAAGUUUAAUAAGCUUAUAAGAAAUAAGCUCUAAAUCAUGUACAUAUCGCCCGUCGCUUUCGUUUAUAAAC
rnacentral:rRNA from 1 species